rnacentral:sRNA from 1 species
CCAAGGCGGCAGCUCGUAAGACGACUGCCGCAAUCAACAACUCAGUGCUUGCUGAUGGCGAGGCUCUAGCUUCAGCUGCAGAGCCUGCAGUGGAUGACGC